GAUGAACGCUGGCGGCGUGCCUAAUACAUGCAAGUCGAGCGAAUGGAUUAAGAGCUUGCUCUUAUGAAGUUAGUGGCGGACGGGUGAGUAACACGUGGGUAACCUGCCCAUAAGACUGGGAUAACUCCGGGAAACCGGGGCUAAUACCGGAUAACAUUUUGAACCGAAUGGUUCGAAAUUGAAAGGCGGCUUCGGCUGUCACUUAUGGAUGGACCCGCGUCGCAUUAGCUAGUUGGUGAGGUAACGGCUCACCAAGGCAACGAUGCGUAGCCGACCUGAGAGGGUGAUCGGCCACACUGGGACUGAGACACGGCCCAGACUCCUACGGGAGGCAGCAGUAGGGAAUCUUCCGCAAUGGACGAAAGUCUGACGGAGCAACGCCGCGUGAGUGAUGAAGGCUUUCGGGUCGUAAAACUCUGUUGUUAGGGAAGAACAAGUGCUAGUUGAAUAAGCUGACACCUUGACGGUACCUAACCAGAAAGCCACGGCUAACUACGUGCCAGCCGCCGCAGUAA
rnacentral:rRNA from 1 species